rnacentral:lncRNA from 1 species
UCAUUGCGAAAAGAUCGUAAACGAAACUGUGCUGUAAAAGCAUAAAAUUCUUUGGUAUUCCGCAAGGUGAAACAAAGUAUCGUUUCAUCGUGGAGGACGUUUGUUCGUGCGCGUAUGUUUACUCUGGAAAGAGACACAUCGCUAUGUCCAAAGGCAAAGUCAAAUAUAUACACAAUAUAUACACUUUUGAAUCAAGGCAGGAAGACGGUUGUCACGGAUACGAUUACGGGCUUUAAUCAGAGAAAUACACGAAGAA